rnacentral:tRNA from 1 species
AAGAUUUUAAGUUAAGAAAACUAGAAGACUUCAAAUCUCCAAAUAGGGAUUUUCCUAAAUCUUA